AACAGGAUGUGCGUUGGGAUAGUACCAUUUUCACUGCUGCCUUACCGCUAACGUCUCUGCUCAACUCAGAUUCCCCUGCCAUAUCUGCUUUCAUCUCUGCACAACUCAGAUUCCUGUCUCUCGUCUUCUACUUCGACGCAGCCUCCAACAUCCCCAGCGACAAGAGGACGCUAUUUUAAAUUGGGGAAGUUCAUUUCCUUGGGCAAGUUCAUUGACCUGGUGGUGAACACGGAGAAGACGAUUUUCUCUGCUGCUGAAAUUUUGCAAUGGCUUUUCUGUUUAACAAAUUUCAAGAGGCAGUGAAAGUUCUUGCAAAAAGUCCUACAUUUGCCAGAGAUCCAAGGCUUUGAAGCAGACAUAAAUCGCCUUUUCCUAUAUACCUGCAAUUCCAGAUUCAAGGAAUUUGGUAUCAUCAACCAGUGAGUAUGAGAUAUAGAGAGAGAAAGCAUACCAACUUCAGACUCGAGAGCAGUGGAUAUGGGAACUGAGCAGUGAAUGAAAGAAACAAGAAGGAGUGAACUCAUGUUUAAGCUGCGCCUGGAAUGGAGUUUGAAGUGGCAAUCAAUAUCAAUGAUGGUGGUUUGGUGUUGAUAUUUGAUAGUGCUGUUCUUGGUCUUGUUGAUGGGUCAAGACAUUCCUGUUUUAAAUGGAGAGGAGGCAGGCUUUCCACCUGGGAACAACUCUGGGGAAGGCUUUAGUCCACUCUCCUUGUGAAGCGCGUGCAUUUUCUUAUUUGCAACGGUAAUAAAUGUAUUUAAUUAUAAUUUAAUAAAAAGCUUAACCCACAGGUUUGAUUUA